rnacentral:rRNA from 1 species
UGGAGCCUGCGGUUUAAUUGGACUCAACGCCCGGGCAGCUCACCGGAUAAGACAGCUGGAUGAUAGCCGGGCUGAAGACUCUGCUUGACUAGCUGAGAGGAGGUGCAUGGCCGUCGUCAGUUCGUACUGUGAAGCAUCCUGUUAAGUCAGGCAACGAGCGAGACCCACGCCAACAGUUGCCAGCAUGUCCUCCGGGAUGAUGGGGACACUGUUGGGACCGCCUCUGCUAAAGAGGAGGAAGGAAUGGGCAACGGUAGGUCAGCAUGCCCCGAAUUAUCCGGGCUACACGCGGGCUACAAUGGUCAGGACAAUGGGUAUCGACACCGAGAGGUGGAGGCAAUCUCCUAAACCUGUCCUUAGUUCGGAUUGUGGGCUGCAACUCGCCCACAUGAAGCUGGAAUCCGUAGUAAUCGCGUUUCAAAAUAGCGCGGUGAAUAUGUCCCUGCUCCUU